rnacentral:piRNA from 1 species
UCGUUUUCAAAACUUACCAAA